GGGGUGGUGGCGCAGUUGGCUAGCGCGUAGGUCUCAUAAUCCUGAGGUCGAGAAUUCGAGCCUCUCUCACCCCA
rnacentral:tRNA from 1 species